rnacentral:lncRNA from 1 species
GCAGCCUCUGUCCAAUAUAAAUUUGUUUUAUUGAAGCAGUGAAGUCACAUGACCUUGCAUCUAGAUUUUAGGAUGGUCACAGAAUUGGCCACAGUAAUCAGCCCUGAAAAUGAUGUUUUUCUUUGUACUAAUAGACAUAUUGUGUUUACAUACAGCAUCCAGGAUUGGAAAUCACCAGACUCAAACACAGCAUGUGUUGAUUUAUUGGGAGGUACAGCCUCACUGGAAAUCAAACUUCUUUAAAAAAAAAAAAAGUUACCCCCAAACCAAGAGCACAGUGUUCAAAGCCAGCAGUUUACAAUUUGUUAUUUAUCCCUUUAAAUGGACAUUUUCUUUUCAAAAACAGUUUGCUGAAAUCCCUUUUUUAUCAAAUCCAAUAACAUACUAAAUAUAAACUGUACCCCUUGGACAAGGCAAUGAAAUAACAGUUUAUUUGGAAGGGGAAUCGAGAGAAAAUACAUCUACAUCUUGAUUUUUGUUAACAAAAAUGUAUAUUUCAUUAAUUUAGGGAAAAGGAAAGGUAAUGGCAGUCAAAAGAGAAGUGGAAAAUUAGAGAGGACAAAGAAAGAGGGCUGGGAAUCGAAAUAAAGACCACACACUUCUGAAUUUGAAUUUCAUUUCCAGGCUAACCUACUUUUUAUUUAAUGCAAAUUACAGUACCAGUUAACUAUUUCCAAACUGAGUCACACAGAACAAAAUGUAUUUACAAGGGAAUGGGGGAAGGAAAAAAAAAACAUUAAGCAUACUGUCCACAAAAAAGUAUAUAUUUAAAUGAAAAAAAAAAAUUCAGUCACAGAGGCAUUCAAGUAGUAAUAAUGUUAUACAGGUUUUGCUUUUUCCUUUAAAUCAAGACAGAUUUGCACAAGUGUUUGCAAUAGUUUGUAUACAACCCACAGUCCUUUAUAUAUAUAUAUAUAUAUAUAUUUAUAUAUAUUUAGAUUUCUGUUUCUAAUAUGGAAGUGGUCACGCUAAUCGGUGUGUGUACAGGCCCAAGUGAUCCAUCGGCAACACAUUUAUAAAUGCAAAUUUUACAGGCAAGCACAUUUUCAUACAUCUAUCUGCAUCUUCUUGUAGACAGAUAUAUAAAAAAGUUUAGAAUGAAUUAACACAAGGAAGCUACUUUUCAAGCUAACCCCUUAUGCAUGGUUUGUCAUUUUGC